UACGUAGGGGGCAGGCGUUGUUCGGAAUUACUGGGCGUAAAGGGCGCGUAGGCGGCAUGGCAAGUCGGGAGUGAAAGGCCUGGGCUCAACCGAGGAACUGCUUUCGAGACUGCCAAGCUAGAGUGCGGAAGGGGCAUCUGGAAUUCCCAGUGUAGCGGUGAAAUGCGUAGAUAUUGGGAAGAACACCUGAGGCGAAGGCGGGAUGCUGGGCCGACACUGACGCUGAGGCGCGAAAGCCAGGGGAGCAAACGGG
rnacentral:rRNA from 1 species